ensembl:lncRNA
UUGUUUGGUAGAGCCCAUUACCAGCAGCUGGCUAAAGUUAAGUUACCCGGUGUAGGAAGGGAGUGUCUGUGUGGAUUAAGGCGGGAGACUGGAUAAAAUAAGGGUUCCAUCUUCCAACUCAUUUAACAGCCCCAGAACCUUCAGAUUUUCAUUUUAAUGAAACUCUAACUGUAUGGAUAACCGUUCUUUCCCUCGCCCUGAAGAGGUUCCUGACUUAGUCCUUGGCCAAGAGUGGUCCAGGAAAUGACUGCUUUCUGAUGAGGUCUCUUGGUGGGGCUUUCCAGGGGCUCAGGCCUGAACUGUUCCCAGCAAGCGUUCACUCUUAGCCUGGCUUUGUCACCGUCAAAGCCGUUUAUCUUUUCCAGUCUUCUCCCCAGCAAGAUGGAGUGGGAAGGAAAAUGAAUCCAGGUCGUCACCCUUACUUGCCCAGGAGGUGUGUCAGGCACGGGUCCCUGGAUCCAGUGAGCCAAAGGCAAAGGCAGGGUCAGAAGAGGAGUGUGGGUGCCGCCACCUCGGUGGGAGUGGGCCAGGCUGGGGCCGAGAGAUCGGAUUCGGAGGCCGGGUGGGCGGCUCCGCCGUGGAUGCGCUCGUGUCGCACCAGGACCACUACUUCCGAGAGCCUGGAAGCCUAGCCUCUGCUCCUUCCACUCUGCUGGAAAGUUCCUGGGAAUGACUAGAUCCGAAGAUCACUGUAAGUGUCCCCUCCUUGGCUUGCAUGCCUCCGUAGCACAUCCCUGGCUCUGCAGUAGGCAGCAUGCACAAGGUUCAGUCCUCAGGUUUCACUCUGGGCUCAUAUGCCCACGUAGCUACCCCAGAUCUUCCUCCAGCCCCCUCCUUUCUGGAACCGCAGUCUCUCAUCUCCAGUAGAGCAACUCCCUUCGUGUCCUGCAAAUAGUCUACAUCCCAGAAGGUUUAUCACCAAACACCCCACCUUCCCAGAUCUAGCCCCCCGCCCCAACAUUAGGCCACAAACCUCCUCCUCCUCCCAAUGGGCUGGCCUUGGAAACUUGACUCACCUUUAGCGCCUCCCUGGCUUGCUAACCCCGCUCCAGUGGCCACAGAGUACCUUUGUAUUCCUUCCUGUUGUUCCUCAAAGUCUCCCCCUGCUCCUUCUUUCCUGCCUCUACAGCCAGGUGGGAAAUCCCAGUUCAAGAGGAGGACUGAGGGAGUUCCGUUUGUGGCUUAGCAGGUUAAGAACCCAACUAGUAUCCAUGAGGAUGUGGGUUUGAUCCCUGGUCUUGAAGUAGGUUAAGGAUCCAGUAUUGCUACAAAGCUUCGGCAUAGGUCUCGGAUGCGGCUCGGAUCCUGCGUGGCUGAGGCCUAGGCUGGCAGCUGCAGCUCCAAUUCAACCCCUAGCUUAGGAACUGCCUGCCAUAUGCCACAGGUGCGGCCCUUAAAAAAAAAAAAGAAAAAAAAGAGGAUUGAAUUUACUGGCCUUGGGGAACCGAUGGAUGGUGCCAACCUCUGGAGAAGCAAGGUGGUCCGUCUUGAGGAAGAGUUUUGAGAUGAAUUCCUCCAGAGGGGCUUUGCAGUAGCCCAGCCAAGGGGAAGGGGCUCAGGGGCCAGAUGGGACUGUCCACUUGGCCUCUCCUCUGGGACUCAGCAGCAGUGUGAU